rnacentral:rRNA from 1 species
CGGGAAGAACACCGAUGGCGAAGGCAGAUCUCUGGGCCGUAACUGACGCUGAGGAGCGAAAGGGUGGGGAGCAAACAGGCUUAGAUACCCUGGUAGUCCACCCCGUAAACGUUGGGAACUAGUUGUGGGGUCCAUUCCACGGAUUCCGUGACGCAGCUAACGCAUUAAGUUCCCCACCUGGGGAGUACGGCCGCAAGGCUAAAACUCAAAGGAAUUGACGGGGACCCGCACAAGCGGCGGAGUAUGCGGAUUAAUUCGAUGCAACGCGAAGAACCUUACCAAGGCUUGACAUAUAGAGGAAACGUCUGGAAACAGUCGCCCCGCAAGGUCUCUAUACAGGUGGUGCAUGGUUGUCGUCAGCUCGUGUCGUGAGAUGUUGGGUUAAGUCCCGCAACGAGCGCAACCCUCGUUCUAUGUUGCCAGCACGUAAUGGUGGGAACUCAUGGGAUACUGCCGGGGUCAACUCGGAGGAAGGUGGGGAUGACGUCAAAUCAUCAUGCCCCUUAUGUCUUGGGCUUCACGCAUGCUACAAUGGCCGGUACAAAGGGCUGCAAUACCGUAAGGUGGAGCGAAUCCCAAAAAGCCGGUCCCAGUUCGGAUUGAGGUCUGCAACUCGACCUCAUGAAGUCGGAGUCGCUAGUAAUCGCAGAUCAGCAACGCUGCGGUGAAUACGUUCCCGG